UACGUAGGGGGCAAGCGUUGUCCGGAUUUAUUGGGCGUAAAGGGUGCGUAGGCGGCCUUUUAAGUCAGAUGUGAAAGGUCACGGCUCAACCGUGGUAAGCAUUUGAAACUGGAAGGCUUGAGUUAAGGAGAGGAAAGUGGAAUUCCUAGUGUAGCGGUGAAAUGCGUAGAUAUUAGGAGGAAUACCAGUGGCGAAGGCGACUUUCUGGACUUAUACUGACGCUGAUGCACGAAAGCGUGGGGAGCGAACA
rnacentral:rRNA from 1 species